rnacentral:rRNA from 1 species
AGAGUUUGAUCCUGGCUCAGGACGAACGCUGGCGGCGUGCUUAACACAUGCAAGUCGAGCGAGGCCCAUCCGGUAGCAAUACCGGUGAAGGUCGAGCGGCGAACGGGUGAGUAACACGUGAGCAACCUGCCCCGAAGUUCGGGAUACCUCCGGGAAACCGGUGUUAAUACCGGGUGCCCUCAGCUGACUGCUUGGUCGGGUGAGGAAAGCCAUAUCUCAACAAUAUGGCGCUUCGGGAGGGGCUCGCGGGCUAUCAGCUUGUUGGUGGGGUAACGGCCUACCAAGGCGACGACGGCUAGCUGGUCUGAGAGGACGACCAGCCACACUGGGACUGAGACACGGCCCAGACUCCUACGGGAGGCAGCAGUGGGGAAUCUUGCGCAAUGGGCGAAAGCCUGACGCAGCAACGCCGCGUGGGGGAUGAAGGCCCUCGGGUUGUAAACCCCUUUCGACAGGAACGAAAUUGACGGUACCUGGAGAAGAAGCCCCGGCCAACUACGUGCCAGCAGCCGCGGUAAUACGUAGGGGGCGAGCGUUGUCCGGAUUCAUUGGGCGUAAAGAGCUCGUAGGCGGUUUGGCAAGUCAGGUGUGAAAUCUCCGGGCUCAACUCGGAGAGGCCACCUGAUACUGCUAUGACUUGAGUCCGGUAGGGGACCAUGGAAUUCCUGGUGUAGCGGUGAAAUGCGCAGAUAUCAGGAGGGACACCGGUGGCGAAGGCGGUGGUCUGGGCCGGCACUGACGCUGAGGAGCGAAAGCGUGGGGAGCGAACAGGAUUAGAUACCCUGGUAGUCC